AGUCACUGACAUUAGAUACCCGUGUAGUCCAGGGUGUAAACGCUGCAGACUUGGUGUUGGGAACCCUUCGGGGGUGCUCAGUGCCGGAGAGAAGUUGUUAAGUCUGCUACUUGGGGAGUACGUCCGCAAGGAUGAAACUUAAAGGAAUUGGCGGGGGAGCACCGCAACGGGAGGAGCGUGCGGUUUAAUUGGAUUCAACGCCGAAAAACUCACCAGCAGCGACUGUUACAUGAAAGUCAGGUUGAUGACCUUACUAGAUUUCCAG
rnacentral:rRNA from 1 species